ensembl:lncRNA
UUGCUUUCUCCUGGGGUCAUGUUCCAGAAUCCCAUCCAGGAUCCCGCAUUUUCUAGUUAUUUGUCAUGUCUUCUUAGAUUCUCUGUGGCUGUGACAGUUUCCCAGACUUGUCUGUGUUUGUGAUCACCUUGACAGCUUUGAGUAGUACUGGUCAGGUAGUUUGUAGACUGUCUCUCAGUUUGGGUUUGUCUGAUUUUUUUACUUUCUUCUUUUCUGGGCUACACUGCAGUUUGGGUUUUGAGGGGAGGACCACAGUGGUGACAUGUCAUCCUUGUGAGUACCAAGGGUCCGGCCAUCAGCAGGACUUGUCACUCAUGAUGUUGACCUUGAGGACCUUGCCGAGAUGGUAUAAAAUAUGGGGUAAUAUAUAAAUCCAGAGGAUCUGGAGGGGCCCAGGGCCCUGAGUGAGCUCUGUCCUGUGGUCCACUUCCUGCUCUCAUGUCCUGGACACUUGUGUCUGUCCUUCCCUUUGUGCUCGUCCUGUCUUCUCAUGUCAGAGGCCGUCUCAGCAUCCCUUCUCAGGCACCUGCUCCCGUCUCAGCCACUUGCCCCCCACCAUGCUCCUGUUACCUCCACGAGGCUCAUCACCACCAGCAUCCUGCGUGGGCUGUAUGUCUGCCUGGUGGAUGUCUCCUCCCUGGAGGGCAGGCCCUGGAGGCUCAUCACCACCAGCAUCCUGCGUGGGCUGCAUGUCUGCCUGGUGGAUGUCUCCUCCCUGGAGGGCAGGCCCUGGAGGCUCAUCACCACCAGCAUCCUGCGUGGGCUGCAUGUCUGCCUGGUGGAUGUCUCCUCCCUGGAGGGCAGGCCCUGGAGGGUGAAGGGUGUGCUUCCUUCACUGUACCCUCGGCCCCUGUGACAGUGUCUGGCACAUAGUAGGUGCUCAAAAAAUAUGGGAAGAGUAAACAAGCAAAUGAACAGAUGAUUUGUCAAAAGAACGGUCAUAACCUUUAGCUCACACUCCUGUACACCUAAGGUUACAGUUUGGGGUGAAUAAAGCCUGAAACGUGGCCAUGGUGAUGGCCCUUCUCAGGUACCACUGGUAGGGAUCACUUGGCUUUUUGCUGCCCACUUUUCUCACCAAUGUAUAUUCUGAGCAGUGUGGGCUUCAGUGAUCCUCUUUUUCUCCAGUGCUUUUCUCCAUGUAGGUCUGAACUUUGGCUACUGCAUGUGUUGUGGCAAUAUUUGCAGAAGCACACAGUCUAGGAGUAUUGAAAUGGGCUUCAAUCAAGGAAAUGCAUCAGAAUCGAUCAGAAACAUACACUAACGCAGAAGGAAGAGGGUAAUGUAAUUGAUAUGGUCGAUCCUGGAAUAAACGAUGCUUUAGCAUGUAAUUAUCACGUGAUAGGAGGCACUGAAGUGCAAUCCUAUUUACAUGUGCAUGUGCUCAGUCAUAGAGAAGGCAAGGAUACUGGAGUGGGUUGCCAUUUCCUACUCCAGGGGAUCUUCCUGACCCAGGGAUCGGUCUCCUGCAUUGGCAGGCAGAUUCUUUACCACUGCGCCACCUGGGAAGCCGACAGCCCUGUUUUCAGGCCAGAAAAACCAGCCCAUGGUGGUCUCAUCAUGGUAUUAGCUGUCUUAGGGCUCUGCUGGUUUCAGCACUUAUUUGUGUGGAUUUUACGAUAGUUUGCUGUUUUGGCUUCAGUACAUGCACGGUGAUUGGAAACCUAUCUAAGGCAUUUUUCCUCCCACUAAGGCAUAGAGCGCUCAGUAACCAGCCUCUCAAAGGCUUCUUUCAGUGUUAAUUAUGUGGUUAGAGAAAACAAAUGAGCAAAUUAGAGAAUUAGCACCGAAUUAAAAGGACGCUAGGAUGGCCACAGCAGCUAGUUCAGGUUGCUUUCCCGUUUGGGUGGUGGAAAGCUUUUUCUCACUUUGUGAGUUGAACCCUGAGUUGAACAAUGGAAAGUUCAGGGUAUUGUUCUAUUUUCAUGCCACGUAAAAAACAGCUUUAAAUUAAAGUUUUUUUUGGCACAAUCCAUCAAAAGCAUUCUAGGCACAUAGUAGAAUCAAAUAUUUAAUUUUUAAAUGUUUUAGAGCUCUUUUUAGAUUUCAGUUGAAAAUGGGGCACAUCACAGCCAAGCAGGCUUUGCAAACCAUGUUAGUGUUUAUUUGCACACUCUGCCUGUAGGUAAUAACACAGUGGUGAUUAGCAAAGGCGUGUUUUGCUGAGAAAGGAGGAAAAUCAAACACAAACACACAAAAGGAGGCACAAACUCACAUAAACAUUCUCAGGAGGAUGGAACUCAAUAUCAUAUUGACAUCUUUAUAGUAUGCCACAGUUCAUUCAUUGAGCCCAGACAGUGGGAAUUCAGAGAGCAGGUGCCCAAAGUCUGCCUUCAUUUAUCCAGCCCCCAAAAUAGUUUCUGCUCUGAUGUGGAAUGAAAACAGUAAGUGAAGGAUAAGCAUGUCAUUCUGGUCCAUAAAUGCAUCCUUGAGACCCUUGUUUACAAUUUUUUAAAACUCCUUUCAGUUGGGAUUCAUCCUUUUCUCAUUUUCUUAGUGGAGUGGCCAUUUUCUCCUGGUGAGGAUCCGUCAGGCAUCAGGCGGUUCACACAUUGAUUUGAAAAGGGAGAAGGUAAUAUCUGAUCUGAAAGUGAGGAAGAAAGUGCAUCAGACAGAUAAAUGGGAGGAUCUAUAGAAAUCCACAGGGGACCCGCUUAUGGAGGUGGAGUUGGAUGGAUGGGUAUCUCCAGGCAGUAGGUAAGUUGACGUUAACAUUGAAAUGUUCCUUCUUCAUUAUUGCUGUGUAAAUAAUGUGUAAUUUUAGACUGAUCCUUCCAUAGGACAUCUAUAGAGGACCAAUUUAGUAAACAUAUAAUGGGCC